UAAAAAAUUAGUUCUUUUUAUAGAACAUCUCCUUGUAAACUCUACGUAUAUAUCAUUGAUUAAUUCAUCCAAUUAUUUUGUUCAAUCAUUUUUUCAUGGUAUCAGGUAACGAGCCAUCAGAAAUUUUGGUGCCCUUCUACCUGGAUUUAAUUUCCAGACAAAUUUUUAAAAGUUUUUUUUAUGAAAAAAAAUUCUAAUUUGAAGGUUUUUUGGCGUCGAUUCUGAGCAUCGUUGUUUUUUGCCAGCGUUCAAAAUUUUUAUUCCCGGCUAGGAUUAUUUGCAGGUCCAACUGCGAUUUUUCGGGCGAUUUUUUUUUCGCCUGCCCUCCUGCAGACUUCCGGCGGUGGCCAUUUUUUUCUUUCCUGCGGGCUUUUUGUUUCUGAGAAAAUCGUGUUUUAUACCCAGCGGCGACGCGACCUGGUUAGGGUAUUUUUUAGCACGAUUUUUUUUUGUGCGCGGCCCAAUUUUUGCCGUUUCAUCUGGGUUUUUAGUGGAUUUUGUGCCCGCGUGUGUUUUUCUGUGGGCGAUUUUCCAACAAGGGUUUUUCCGACGGCACGAUUUUUGGCAGGUUUGCAUUCGAAAUGCUUUUUUCGGCGGGAUUUUCUUUUCCGCUACCUGGGGUUUUAUUCUCCGACCCACGUCCGAAUUUUCACAAUUUUCAGAAAAUCGUGGGUUUGUUUGGCGACUCGCGGAUUUUUCCUAGCUUUGGCGUGAUUUUUUUCUGAUUUUCAGCGAGAAAAGUGCAGCGAAUUUUGCGAUUUUUUUGGGCCAAGGACCUAUUUAGCAGGAAUCUAAAAAAAAAAUCUGGCAGCUAGCACAUAAAUAAUGAUUUUUUUUUUAAAUCGUAUUAUUUUCUGUUUUAUCUGAUUUUUUUCUGUAGGAAAUUUCUUUUCUAGGUUUUCCAAAAUUCCGAGUCUUGGGUUUCAUUCCCAGAUUUAUGCCUUGGGUUCUGUGCCAUCCUUUCAACGCCUUGGGUUCUGCAGAAAGAAGUUCGCUGAUCAAAAUUCCAACCAAGGAGGGUCUCACAAGCAGGGCUCAUGUUGCAGAGCGUUCUGAAGAGAAGAAGUUAGUCUUCUAUGCUUUUUGGUUUUGUCAUCAGAUGGGUUUUUUGAUUUUUUUGUCAUAAAAAAUCAUGGGAGGGUUUUGCUUGAUUUUUUCCUCAAUAAUCAAGGUUUUACCAAGUGAUGUCUGAUAUUUUACCACGUGAUGUUGUCUGGUGUUUUCUCACGUGAUGUCUGAUAUUUUCCCACGUGAUGUUUGGUGUCUUACCAUGUGAUGUUUUGAGUUUUGCCAUGCGAAGUUUCAAGGUUUUGUUCGAUUUUUUCCUCAAAUCAUUUUAGGGUGGUUGUUUUUUACCAUUUUUUCCACAAAAAUGAUGAUUUGUAUCUUCAGCUUUGGAGGGUUUGCCAAUUUUUCCUCAAAAUCGUGGUUUCGGGUCUCAGUUUGGUUACCAAACAUCAGAUUGGAUGGAUUCUGGUAUUCUUGGUCAUUAACACAUUGCAGAUCUAGAGGUUGGCUAGGUGCAGCAAGGCAUGCUUGGAUUUGAUUAACAACUGAUGAUUAUUGGAGAGGAAAACCUUCAGGAGCGAUAGAAGGGUUGGACGAAAACCUGACUCUUCUUGGGAGUGGAUUCGCAUUGGACUUCACAGCUGAGCCAAAUUUGUAAAGUCUGCUGUGGAGACAGAUUUGCAGAAGUUCCAGUAAUAAAGUUAAUUCUGCAGAGAUUAAUAAAAGGACGGUUCAAUAAAGGGAGAUAUUAAGGUGUCCAGCUAUUUUCAUUUGGUUUGUUAUUAUGAUAAUCUAUGGAACGAAUUUACCAUUUCUUCUUGUCUGGGAGCUGAUACAUUGCUAGACACAGCAUUAGAGUUCACUGAUAUUUUCUGCUGUACCUUCUUCAGCCCUGAUUUUUUGGGGAUCAGAGUCAUUGUAGUGUUGCUCUGCAGAAGAGAAGACGGGUGCAAGGAGGCAAGGUUAGGUAAGAUCGAAUACCAUAAGCGAAGUGUUGGAAUUGCCACUGGAAAGGUUUGGGCGCCACUGCAUUGGCACCCAACAUCCUUCUCACAGGCACAGUCUACAGGAAAGAACAAAUUCACUGGAGUGAGUCGAGCAUUAUUGAAAUUUGAGAGAUCUGAAUGGGCUUUCCAAGGACAUGGUGAACAGCCUAUGUGCAGGAACUGAGAAAGAGAUCAUUGCAAGAGGUCUGUGUGUGAAAAGAAGCAUUCUUGCAAUCUACAGAACCAUUCAUGUAACUCAACCUGUGUGUCACAAAUCAAUUCAUGACACCUUGGGAGUUUACUAUACUUGUGAACGAAAAUUGUCACCUGUAAGUUGCGGCCCUUAACUGUGCACAUUCAUGUAAGUGUUGACAAGGAAUUGAUUGUAUUGAGGUAUUUUUUUUCUGAACUACUGAUUGCUACUGUAUUAAUGCAUUAAACUCGUGAGGAAAAAAUUCUGAGUUGUAUGAUUUCGUUGGAUAAUUCAU